AUCGGUUUGAAAAACAGACCUCAUACAAAGCAGUUUAUUAAAGCAGUUCUCAUACUCAGGCGUUAUCAUAAUAUCCCCUUUUUUUGAGUACCUCCAUUAAGCGCUAAGUAGUUUCUGUAAAACAGGCCAUGUUCGCCUAAAAAGGCUCAAUCAAAGGAAAUAUAAUAUGUCUAAUAAAAUGACUGGUUUAGUAAAAUGGUUUAAUGCAGAUAAAGGUUUUGGCUUUAUCUCCCCUACCGAUGGAAGCAAAGAUGUGUUCGUACACUUCUCUGCAAUUCAGAGUAAUAACUACCGCACUCUGGAAGAAGGCCAAAAAGUCGAAUUCACCAUCGAACAAGGUGCCAAAGGCCCAGCAGCAGCAAACGUUGUUCCUACAGCGUAAAAUAAAUCUUCUUUGAAUCCUUUUUUCUGCAAUAGCGAAGACGGCUU
rnacentral:sRNA from 1 species